GGAUGCGAUCAUACCAGCACUAAAGCACCGGAUCCCUUCAGAACUCCGAAGUUAAGCGUGCUUGGGCGAGAGUAGUACUAGGAUGGGCGACCUCAUGGGAAGUCCUCGUGUUGUAUUCC
rnacentral:rRNA from 1 species